AGAGUUUGAUCCUGGCUCAGGAUGAACGCUGGCGGCGUGCUUAACACAUGCAAGUCGAACGAGCCUUCGGGCUAGUGGCGGACGGGUGAGUAACGCGUGAGAAUCUGCCCUCAGGAGGGGGAUAACGGCUGGAAACGGCCGCUAAUACCCCAUAUGCCGCGAGGUGAAAUGAGAAAUCGCCUGAGGAUGAGCUCGCGUCUGAUUAGCUAGUUGGUGGGGUAAGAGCCUACCAAGGCAUCGAUCAGUAGCUGGUCUGAGAGGAUGAUCAGCCACACUGGGACUGAGACACGGCCCAGACUCCUACGGGAGGCAGCAGUGGGGAAUUUUCCGCAAUGGGCGCAAGCCUGACGGAGCAACGCCGCGUGAGGGAUGAAGGCCUCUGGGCUGUAAACCUCUUUUCUCAAGGAAGAAGAACUGACGGUACUUGAGGAAUAAGCCACGGCUAAUUCCGUGCCAGCAGCCGCGGUAAUACGGGAGUGCCAAGCGUUAUCCGGAAUUAUUGGGCGUAAAGCGUCCGCAGGCGGUCUUGAAAGUCUGUUGUUAAAGCGUGGAGCUCAACUCCAUUUCAGCAAUGGAAACUAGAAGACUAGAGUGUGGUAGGGGCAGAGGGAAUUCCCGGUUUAGCGGUGAAAUGCGUAGAUAUCGGGAAGAACACCAGUGGCGAAGGCGCUCUGCUGGGCCAUAACUGACGCUCAUGGACGAAAGCCAGGGGAGCGAAAGGGAUUAGAUACCCCUGUAGUCCUGGCCGUAAACGAUGAACACUAGGUGUCGGGGGAAUCGACCCCCUCGGUGUCGUAGCCAACGCGUUAAGUGUUCCGCCUGGGGAGUACGCACGCAAGUGUGAAACUCAAAGGAAUUGACGGGGGCCCGCACAAGCGGUGGAGUAUGUGGUUUAAUUCGAUGCAACGCGAAGAACCUUACCAGGGUUUGACAUCCUGCGAAUCUUUUGGAAACAGAAGAGUGCCUUCGGGAGCGCAGAGACAGGUGGUGCAUGGCUGUCGUCAGCUCGUGUCGUGAGAUGUUGGGCUAAGUCCCGCAACGGGCGCAACCCACGUCUUUAGUUGCCAGCAUUGAGUUGGGCACUCUAGAGAGACCGCCGGUGAUAAACCGGAGGAAGGUGUGGAUGACGUCAAGUCAUCAUGCCCCUUACAUCCUGGGCUACACACGUACUACAAUGCUACGGACAGAGGGCAGCAAACUCGCGAGAGCUAGCAAAUCCCAUAAACCGUGGCUCAGUUCAGAUCGUAGGCUGCAACUCGCCUACGUGAAGGAGGAAUCGCUAGUAAUCGCAGGUCAGCAUACUGCGGUGAAUACGUUCCCGGGCCUUGUACACACCGCCCGUCACACCAU
rnacentral:rRNA from 1 species